rnacentral:lncRNA from 1 species
CCCCCCUUGCCCAUCUCCUCCUCUCUCAAUUCUUGCAGCCACCAAACCCUAGCCGCCCCCCCUCUCAAUCCCCUCCUCCCAAGGUGCCAAUCCUUGCCGCUCGGAUCAUCGUCGUCGUGGUGCGAGUCUUCGAUCGUUUUGGUGGAGGGAAGAAGGGAGGAAGGAAAGGGGGAGAAUCCAAGGUGAUUUUUAUGUUCAUCCCUUGUUCAUUUGCGCUGCAAUUUAAUUGAUUAGAGGUUGCGUUUGCGAUUGGGGUAGAGGGGGGGUUGUCCAGAAUUUUAGGUGGUGGGUGAACAGCAGUAGUCUAGCAGUUUCUGUGUUUUUUUCGUGAGGAAUUAAGGGAAAUCAGUUUGGGGAUCAUGUAGAACUUUACCUUACCUUUCCAACGAGUAUUUAUGCGAUCAAUUUGGAGUUAUAAAUUGAAAGUUAUCACUGUUUGAAUCCGGGUAUGUGGCUGUCCAAAAAACAGAUUUUUCAGGGGGAUGAACAGCAGCAGUAUUAGCAGUUUCUGGGAAUUUUUCGUGGGUAAUUAGUGUUAAUCAGUAUGAGAAUCAUGUAGGGCUUUAUGUUAUCUUUCCAACAAGUACUUAUGCGAUCGAUUCGGAGUUACAAUUCAGGAGAUAUCGUUGUUUGAAUCCGGUUAUGUUGCUGUCCAAAAAAACAGAUUUUUCAGGUGGGUGAACAGCAGUGGUAUUAGCAGUUUCUGGGAACUUUUUGUGGGUAAUUAGUGUUAACCAGUAUGGAAAUCAUGUAGGGAUUUGUCUUAUCUUUCCAAUGAGUACUUAUGCGCUUGAUUUAGAAUUAUAUUUUAAAAGAUAUCGCUGUUUGAAUCUGGGUAUGUCGCUGUCCAAAAGACAAAGAAAAACAGAUUUUUCAGGGGAUGAACAGCAGCAGUAUUAGCAGUUUCUGGGAAUUUUUCGUGGGUAAUUAGUGUUAAUCAGUAUGAGAAUCAUGUAGGGCUUUAUGUUAUCUUUCCAACAAGUACUUAUGCGCUCGAUUCGGAGUUAUAAUUCAGGAGAUAUCGUUGUUUGAAUCCGGUUAUGUUGCUGUCCAAAAAAACAGAUUUUUCAGGUGGGUGAACAGCAGUGGUAUUAGCAGUUUCUAGGAACUUUUCGUGGGUAAUUAGUGUUAACCAGUAUGGUAAUCAUGUAGGGAUUUGUCUUAUCUUUCCAAUGAGUACUUAUGCGCUUGAUUUGGAAUUAUAUUUUAAAAGAUAUCGCUGUUUGAAUCUGGGUAUGUCGCUGUCCAAAAGACAAAGAAAAACAGAUUACAGGGUUCAUCUUGUGGACUGUUUUGGGCUAAUUAGAUAUUGGAAUUUAAUUAUUAAUUGUAUACAAAACUUGUGGGGAAUUUUAUGUAGAUGCCUCUGGAGUUUUUGUUUGUUACCACUGCUGUCAUAAUUUUAAAGUUAUGAAAUUAUUAAGCAGCGCCGCUGCAGUUUGGUGGGUGUAGGGAGAGAUGUAACCCGCGGCGGGGUUUGAGUUUGUGCGUAGGUGCGGCGUCGCUUAUGAGCCUGAUUAUGUGAAAUUGGUGUACUAAGUUGGGUGUCAAAAACAGGCGGUGGACUUCCGGAUCGUACUUAGGGAUUUGCCCGAACUUCCGGUAAAGGCAAGUAAAUACAGUGGUGGUUGCUACCGUUUGGUUUGCAUCCUAUUCCCUGUCAUUGAGUAUGCAUAAGUUUUAAUUAUGUUAAUCAUUGAAUUCUAUGAUGAAGUUUAUUUGUUUGGAAGUAUUAAUUCUCAAUUGUCUAAUAUUGUGGAUGAUCAUAAUUUGGUAAUGAUAUAUGUGGUUGAUUCCCAUCUGGAUGAAGUUGAAGUGUCUUUUUGAAUCAUAUUAUAUGAAGUGUUGUAGGCAUGACAUGCACAUCGCAUCAUUCAUCUUGCAUUUUGAAGUUAUGUCGUGAUCUUAUGGUCCGACCGUACCGGUACAUUUUUAGCAUUGUACGUUGCCCGAGGAGGGGUACGAUGCGGCUUCAUAUCCUUAGAGGUAUGAAGGCAGAAGUCAUCCUUGCAUUUGCAGACAUUUGCACUCAUGAGGAAUAUAUGAAUUGUGACAUUACUAUGUUACUAUUGUGGUUUCUACCUGCGAGGUGUGGUAACUAGGUGCGUUGUACGUUGUAUACGUGCUGCACCUUCGUAAUAAGAAGGUUGUGGAAUUAAGUGGUGGUAAAACAAUGUUCUUAUGUGGUUAAACUGUUUGAUAUUAUUUUACUUGCUGAGAUGUGUCAUCUCACUCUUGCAUUACUCAAUGCAGGUACUUGAUACAUGUUGGGAAUGAGGGGAGUAGCAGCACGCCCACUUUCACUCUCACAAUAACGCUGCCCAGGCGCAACCAUGAUUUAAUUAGAAACUUAUUGUCAAAGGAAGUUUGUUUAUUUUUUUAUAUGGUCGUGCGCACUGGUUAAUUCAGUUCAGGUCGUAUGUUUAUCAUUCCUUGCUAGCCGAGUAAUAAUACUUAGUAUGUUUUAGUCAUGAUAUAUGUUUAUACUCUGUUGCUCCCUCUUUUAUGCAAUCUUGCAAAGGGGAUGCUGCCGAAAUUUUAUAUAUGGACGUCGGAAGUGUAGUACAGUAGCAUACCGGGUUGUUUGUGGAACCUGGAGUGUUACAGUUGGUAUCAGAGGAUAGGCUUUAGAUUUUACGCAAUUUGAAGAUAAAUUUGACACACUUGCACAUAUAGGAAGGGUAUGGGUUCAUAUAUCUUUCAUAUUAGUAUUUUAUUGUAUAGAUGACUAGAAUUUCCUUACUCCAAACCCCUUUAUGGUUUGAUGAGGUAUGUCGUUAGCGACGUAAUGCUUGAUAUGAAAUGUUACUUCUAUUUAAUAUUGGUUUCUUGAUGUGGUUCUUAUUGAAAUUAUUAUGCGAGUGAAGCUACUAAUGUACUUGUUUUAUAUACAUAUCGUCAUGAUGUUUUUUUGGGAUGCAAUGUUUACUAAUCUCUGAGCUAUUACCAUCAUAUAUUUCUAUAUGCUUGACUGUGGAUGUUUUUUUCCCAAAAGGAUUCUUGGGUUCUAGUACUUGUAGGACCGAUUGUUUAUUGAGCUUGUGUAUAGAGGAUCUAAUCUGACUUGGUGUAGUGUGAAAACAGUAUACAAUGAAGUUUUAUGGUGUUGUUGAGUUGGAUUGACUGUUGGGUUACAACCCAACUUAUCAAUGUAAUAUUUCCAUGGGUGCAGUGCUUUACACCUCACCUUUUUUUUGGCUAGUGUGGCUACUUGCCUACUUGAUCUUAGAGUACAAUAGGUUUGUCUCCAUAGAACAAAGGCAAUGUUGUACUGUCUAUGAAAUCUUGAGACUAGAAGAACUCAAGUGAAUUUGCAAGAUGACGUGGGUAGAUAAGUCCAACCAUGUUUACAUGAUAGGUUUUCUUAUUGUGUGCAACCUUAUCUUUAAUAAUAAAUAGGGUGAUUUCAAGUGGAUUUUAUGUCUAUAUUAUAGUUGAAGAGGCAUGCAUGUUUUCCUUCUAUGUUUUGUUUCUAUAGCCAAAAAGGUUAUGCAUAAUUUCUAUUUGUUGGAGGCUAGUCAUGCGGACGAUAUGGACAACCUGUUUUAUAUUGUUUUUAAUCGCCGAUGAUACAUGGUAGUUUUUUUUAUGAUCAGUUCUCUAUGCAUGCUUGUGGAAUUAUUAUUUGGACCGCUUUAUCUUAAACAAAGUCAAUGUUUAACUAGAAGUUGCUUAUGUUUGUUAGUCAUCUAUCUCUAUAAUGAUGUGGUUGUUGCAUUAGAUGGAGAUUUUUAUUAUAUGAAUGAUGGUUUGAUAGAUCAUGUAUGUCGACUACUUUGAAUUCAUCCUAUGACAUCACUAGGUACAAAUUGUUCAAGUGCAAUAAUAGGAGGUAUUGUUGUAUGUGAGGUUAAUCAAAGUAGUUGGGUUAGGUGGAUUAUCUUAUUGAAGUCCAAUUACUCCUGUUGAGCAUAGUAUCGUGUUAUUAUUUUAGUGUUGAAAGUAAUAUUUAUGAAGCUUUUGCAUGAGUCUGUGUCAAGAAGUACAUUAGUUUUUUCUUGUUGUUAUCCCUCCAUUGCUUUAUGAGUAUUGCAAAUUUUAUCUCUUUUGAGAGGGGGAAAAGAUGUUAUAUGACAUGAGCACCAUUUGCUUCACGUCAACAGAAUAGUUUUGGAGAUUUCUAGUAGUUGGAUUCUAGUGUAAUAACAACCAUGUUUUAUAGAGCUGGAGACGGGUAUGUCAGGUGUUUCAUACAUUGUCGGUACAUGGAUGUUUGACCUUAGUGGCAUUAACAAACGAGGUUGUUGAAUUCAUUGAUUGUUGUGCUUAGUGUUCUAACCUAUUUGGUAGAGUGUUAUUUAAAGACUUUGUGGAGUUGCAUCCCAGUUUGGUAGUGGAAAAUCCUAGUGUUGAUGGCACCUGCCAAUGACUUGGGUUUCAUUUUAUAUUGUUUUUUUAUUGUUGAUAAUGUGUUGUUUGGUUUCGGGAGGCAUUUUAAAUUAGUUGGAGGCUGAAUCAGGCUUCACUUAUCUAGAAUGUUUUGUAGUAUGUUUCUGCAUCUUUCCAUAGGAUGCUUAAUCACCAUGUUUGGUCUAAACAUUUGAGAGAUAUGGGUUUCUUAAAACAUCUUUGUUGGUGUCUCUAGCAGAGUGAGUCUUUAAUUUUGUACGAAAGAGUAGACAUUGAAGACGGUAUAAUUUGGUCUUUGUGGAUUAUGAAAGUUUUAGUAAUUUCAUGAUCUUUUCAAAGAGUAUGGGUUUCUAAUUCUCAUUGUAUAUAAUUGGAGUUAGGUUGCUCUGAAGUUGUUGCACUGUUGUGUCUAAACUUUAGGCGUCGUUAUAAUCACCAAUAAAUCGACCGCGUUUUGAUAGUUGCAGAGCACAAUUUUGCGAAUUCUCUUUAAGCAAAACUUGUAGGUAUUUUCAGUACCUUUUUAAUGGGUAUUUACUUGUAACUGUCUGUUAAAUAGAUUUGGAGAGGUGGUUGCCCGGAUAUAAGUCGAAUCUCUAAUGUGCAGUAUCUCAGGCUGAGUUUAGCUGUAGGUCAUGCAGAGUUGUGGGCUAUAAGGAUAAAUUUGGGUGCAACUUUAUUGCAAAAGUCGUGGACAAUUUUCAAAACUUUUCCAACGCGUGUUCGUUGUAGUUUAAGUUGAGUAUAGCAGGAGUUAUAGGUUUUUGAAUUUUAGUUGUCCAUUGUUUCAAUCUUAUCAGUUUUGAAACAAAAGAGUGGCAUUGUUUUAUCGGUUUGGAAACCAAUUCCGAGACACUCAUUAUAAUAAAAGUUCUAGGGAAUGUUAUAAUCUUUUCAGUGAGUUUAUAUUUGCAAAAUUUUGUUAGCUGCAGGGAGUUAUGAUAUCAUGUAUAGAAUGUGCUUGGAUGAAUAUGUGGGCAGACAUAACAUGCUUAAAUUGAUUCUUGUUUGCAUGAUGUGAGAUUAGGCUUAAAGGAUUUAAAAAGUUAUCAUAUUGCUUCUAUACUUAUAUUUGUUUUAGGUGUCUCGUAAUGAAGAACCUAAAGUUAUUAGUCUUUCAAUGAACGCUUAAUCUUAGAAGAGUAAUGAACCUGAUAAAAUCUAUUGCUUGCUCUUGGGACUGCAUGACCAGUUUUAGUUAUGCAGCUAGUUCAGUGAAGUAAACCAUCUUUUAUGUAGAGAUGUUAUAUAUAAAAGUUGUAGCCAACUUAUUUAUCUUACUUGUGUAAAAAUUUCAUGACCAUAGGUCUAGUAGUUUGGGAGUUAUGAUUUUCUCAAGUCCAGUCUUGAAAUCUAUGCAGAUUCUAUACAGAUUUCGAAGCUGACCUUGUUUGCCCAAUUUAAACUUCAAAUAACUUAUUAUAAAUUAUAAAUAAGUUGUAGUACUUUUCUUAAUCGUUACAACAAAUUUUGGAUUAUUUUUUUUGGAGGUCUAUAAGUUAAGUUACAGCUGUUUUAAGUGUGAUCUCUGAAUCUGUUCAAAUUUGGACAGCAGAGCCUUUCUCGUGUCUUUUGACCUUAAUAUGCAUUGAAUUAACUUGAUAUGUUUAUAAAUGAAUUAUAGACAAUUCUACUAGCUUUCUAAAAAGUCUGGGAGCACCUGAAUUGGAUGAUUGAGACUCCAAUUAUGGAUUUUUGAAUUGAGUAGUUGAAUUAUGUCCAAGUCUGGACAGAAUUUACGUUUAGCACUGUUUGACCUUUCUAAGUGUCAAAUCUUGUUGUGAUGAUAAUACCAAGGGUAUAGUGGACUUUAUAAGUUUCCAUAAAGUCCUAGUUUACUAAUUUUCGAUGCAUAUUUUUGUGAGUUAGGAGCAAAACAAUUAACCGCUGUGCUGCUAUCUAGAAAUAUGCAAGCAUUAAGUUGCUCUCUUGAAGUUGCUCUUGUGUGGCUAUGUUUGGUUUAGCCUAUAGGAACAUUAUAUGCCUUGCAUUCAUAUAUACAUUCCUUGAAGUACUUGCAUAUGUCAAUGAUUGAUUUGGUGUCAGGAAAGCUUGAUCCGAGGUAUAUAGGACCGUCUGCUAUCUUGGCCGAGUUGGUAGCUGGGCUUAGCACAUGUAAUUGUCGGAAUCUGUGAUCAGAGUACACCAAGUAUUCCAUGUCUUUUUGUUGAGGAAGUAUUUGCGGAAUCCAGACCAUCAAAUCGAGCUAGAGCCGAUUCCUGUGUAGCAAGAGCAGACUCUAGAGUGUCGUCUGCUGCGUAUCUUAGAAUCCUAGGAGCUUGAGGAGCUGAUACGGCAGAAGUACUCGAACUUUUCUUUAUGUGUGAGUUUUGUUGAUUCAUUAACCUUUCUUUUGUUGUUCCGAUAGAAGCGUCAGAAUUCGAGGUCGAAUUCUUUUUAAGAGGGGUAGAGUGUGAUACCCGGUUUGCAAAGAAGAGAAGUUGGGGGUUGUUCUUUUUGUUUUUUUUCCUCAUCCGGUUGUUGUUUUGGGGAUUUGGGAUUUUGUGGAAAACAUUCACAACUAGGGCAGUAGAAUUUAUUUGGUUUGACACUUGCGUUGCGGUCGGGAGCUGUCGCGUGGGUUAGUUGGGCCGCAAUUAGAGUUUCGGCCCAUUAACCCUCCCAAACCCUAGCCGCCUCCCUCCUAACCCCCUCCCCCCAUGUGCAGCCGCCCCCCCACUUAUCUUCCCUCCUUGGUCGCCCCCCCCCCCUUGCCCAUCUCCUCCUCUCUCAAUUCUUGCAGCCACCAAACCCUAGCCGCCCCCCCUCUCAAUCCCCUCCUCCCAAGGUGCCAAUCCUUGCCGCUCGGAUCAUCGUCGUCGUGGUGCGAGUCUUCGAUCGUUUUGGUGGAGGGAAGAAGGGAGGAAGGAAAGGGGGAGAAUCCAAGGUGAUUUUUAUGUUCAUCCCUUGUUCAUUUGCGCUGCAAUUUAAUUGAUUAGAGGUUGCGUUUGCGAUUGGGGUAGAGGGGGGCUGUCCAGAAUUUUAGGUGGUGGGUGAACAGCAGUAGUCUAGCAGUUUCUGUGUUUUUUUCAUGAGGAAUUAAGGGAAAUCAGUUUAGGGAUCAUGUAGAACUUUACCUUACCUUUUCAACGAGUAUUUAUGCGCUCAAUUUGGAGUUAUAAAUUGAAAGUUAUCACUGUUUGAAUCCGGGUAUGUGGCUGUCCAAAAAACAGAUUUUUCAGGGGGAUGAACAGCAGCAGUAUUAGCAGUUUCUGGGAACUUUUCGUGGGUAAUUAGUGUUAAUCAGUAUGAGAAUCAUGUAGGGCUUUAUGUUAUCUUUCCAACAAGUACUUAUGCGCUCGAUUCAGAGUUAUAAUUCAGGAGAUAUCGUUGUUUGAAUCCGGUUAUGUUGCUGUCCAAAAAAACAGAUUUUUCAGGUGGGUGAACAGCAGUGGUAUUAGCAGUUUCUGGGAACUUUUCGUGGGUAAUUAGUGUUAACCAGUAUGGUAAUCAUGUAGGGAUUUGUCUUAUCUUUCCAAUGAGUACUUAUGCGCUUGAUUUGGAAUUAUAUUUUAAAAGAUAUCGCUGUUUGAAUCUGGGUAUGUCGCUGUCCAAAAGACAAAGAAAAACAGAUUUUUCAGGGGGAUGAACAGCAGCAGUAUUAGCAGUUUCUGUGAAAUUUUCGUGGGUAUUUAGUGUUAAUCAGUAUGAGAAUCAUGUAGGGCUUUAUGUUAUCUUUCCAACAAGUACUUAUGCGCUCGAUUCGGAGUAAUAAUUCAGGAGAUAUCGUUGUUUGAAUCCGGUUAUGUUGCUGUCCAAAAAAACAGAUUUUUCAGGUGGGUGAACAGCAGUGGUAUUAGCAGUUUUUAGGAACUUUUCGUGGGUAAUUAGUGUUAACCAGUAUGGUAAUCAUGUAGGGAUUUGUCUUAUCUUUCCAAUGAGUACUUAUGCGCUUGAUUUGGAAUUAUAUUUUAAAAGAUAUCGCUGUUUGAAUCUGGGUAUGUCGCUGUCCAAAAGACAAAGAAAAACAGAUUACAGGGUUCAUCUUGUGGACUGUUUUGGGCUAAUUAGAUAUUGGAAUUUAAUUAUUAAUUGUAUACAAAACUUGUGGGGAAUUUUAUGUAGAUGCCUCUGGAGUUUUUGUUUGUUACCACUGCUGUCAUAAUUUUAAAGUUAUGAAAUUAUUAAGCAGCGCCGCUGCAGUUUGGUGGGUGUAGGGAGAGAUGUAACCCGCGACGGGGUUUGAGUUUGUGCGUAGGUGCAGCGUCGCUUAUGAGCCUGAUUAUGUGAAAUUGGUGUACUAAGUUGGGUGUCAAAAACAGGUGGUGGACUUCCGGAUCGUACUUAGGGAUUUGCCCGAACUUCCGGUAAAGGCAAGUAAAUACAGUGGUGGUUGCUACCGUUUGGUUUGCAUCCUAUUCCCUGUCAUUGAGUAUGCAUAAGUUUUAAUUAUGUUAAUCAUUGAAUUCUAUGAUGAAGUUUAUUUGUUUGGAAGUAUUAAUUCUCAAUUGUGUAAUAUUGUGGAUGAUCAUAAUUUGGUAAUGAUAUAUGUGGUUGAUUCCCAUCUGGAUGAAGUUGAAGUGUCUUUUUGAAUCAUGUUAUAUGAAGUGUUGUAGGCAUGACAUGCACAUCGCAUCAUCCAUCUUGCAUUUUGAAGUUAUGUCGUGAUCUUAUGGUCCGACCGUACCGGUACAUUUUUAGCAUCGUACGUUGCCCGAGGAGGGGUACGAUGCGGCUUCAUAUCCUUAGAGGUAUGAAGGCAGAAGUCAUCCUUGCAUUUGCAGACAUUUGCACUCAUGAGGAAUAUAUGAAUUGUGACAUUACUAUGUUACUAUUGUGGUUUCUACCUGCGAGGUGUGGUAACUAGGUGCGUUGUACGUUGUAGACAUGUUGCACCUUCGUAAUAAGAAGGUUGUGGAAUUAAGUGGUGGUAAAACAAUGUUCUUAUGUGGUUAAACUGUUUGAUAUUAUUUUACUUGCUGAGAUGUGUCAUCUCACUCUUGCAUUACUCAAUGCAGGUACUUGAUACAUGUUGGGAAUGAGGGGAGUAGCAGCACACCCACUUUCACUCUCACAAUAACGCUGCCCAGGCGCAGCCAUGAUUUAAUUAGAAACUUAUUGUCAAAGGAAGUUUGUUUAUUUUUUUAUAUGGUCGUGCGCACUGGUUAAUUCGGUUCAGGUCGUAUGUUUAUCAUUCCUUGCUAGCCGAGUAAUAAUACUUAGUAUGUUUUAGUCAUGAUAUAUGUUUAUACUCUGUUGCUCCCUCUUUUAUGCAAUCUUGCAAAGGGGAUGCUGCCGAAAUUUUAUAUAUGGACGUCGGAAGUGUAGUACAGUAGCAUACCGGGUUGUUUGUGGAACCUGGAGUGUUACAUUAGAUCAUCGUCAGACCCUUUCCUCAGACGAUCUUGAAGAG